GGACAGCCAUCGCCGAGUCCCCGUACGGCGCGAGCCAGGGGAGCCGGGGACCCGCCCUCCUGUCGCCGCCUUCGCGGCUGGAGGGGCCCAAGUCCCUGGGGUGAAUCGGACGCCCGCGCAGCCGCGAGGGGGUCCGUAGGAGACCUUCCUGCUCCGAACCCGUCAGCUAACCCGGUAGGCGAGAAGGAAGGAAAG
rnacentral:sRNA from 1 species